AGUGGAAUAACUGGAUCAAAUGGUGGUUCCAUUCCAGUUUUCUAAGGAAUCUGCAUAUUGUUUUCCAGAGUGGUUGCACCAAUUUGCAGUCCUACCAGCAAU
rnacentral:pre_miRNA from 1 species